UGUGACCUCAAAUCAGGUAGGACUACCCGCUGAACUUAAGCAUAUCAAUAAGCGGAGGAAAAGAAACUAACAAGGAUUCCCCUAGUAACUGCGAGUGAAGCGGGAAAAGCUCAAAUUUAAAAUCUGGCAGUCUUUGGCUGUCCGAGUUGUAAUCUAGAGAAGUGCUAUCCGCGCUGGACCGUGUACAAGUCUCCUGGAAUGGAGCGUCAUAGAGGGUGAGAAUCCCGUCUUUGACACGGACUACCAGGGCUUUGUGAUGUGCUCUCAAAGAGUCGAGUUGUUUGGGAAUGCAGCUCAAAAUGGGUGGUAAAUUCCAUCUAAAGCUAAAUAUUGGCGAGAGACCGAUAGCGAACAAGUACCGUGAGGGAAAGAUGAAAAGAACUUUGGAAAGAGAGUUAAACAGUACGUGAAAUUGCUGAAAGGGAAACGCUUGAAGUCAGUCGCGUUGUCCAGGGAUCAACCUUGCUUUUGCUUGGUGCACUUUCUGGUUGACGGGUCAGCAUCAAUUUUGACUGUUGGAAAAAGAUCAAGGGAAUGUGGCAUCUCUGGAUGUGUUAUAGCCCUUGGUUGCAUACAAUGGUUGGGAUUGAGGAACUCAGC
rnacentral:rRNA from 1 species